rfam:Spironucleus salmonicida unplaced genomic scaffold scf7180000020663, whole genome shotgun sequence.
GGCUGCAUAGCUCAGUCGGUUAGAGCAUUAGUCUCAUAAGCUAGGGGUCGUGAGUUCAAUCCUCACUGCAGCUA